UGAGCUGUCUAAUACGGUUGGCAGACCUUCGAAUCUUGAUGGACUGAUGAAAGAAUCUGGUGCUUGUAUCACCCUCCUUGAUUCACUGCAUUCUGGAUUUUUGCCUCCAUAGCAUCUCUUGCUGUCUCAGCAAAGAAUGGUGCUCUGAGAGCUUAUGGCAAAGCUCCCUCUAGUUAGACUCUUGAACUCCUCUCAAUCCUCUCUCUUCUGC
rnacentral:lncRNA from 1 species